rfam:Serratia symbiotica str. &apos;Cinara cedri&apos;, complete genome.
GUAAAGUAAGUGUGGUUUGUAUGCUACAAAUUUUUGAUGUAUUUUGAUCUAUUGGUAAUAAAUGAAUCCCAUUGUAAUACAAAUUUUACAGCGUAAGGUAGGAUAUACUUUUCAAC